GAUGAACGCUGGCGGCGUGCCUAAUACAUGCAAGUCGAGCGAACGGACGAGAAGCUUGCUUCUCUGAUGUUAGCGGCGGACGGGUGAGUAACACGUGGAUAACCUACCUAUAAGACUGGGAUAACUUCGGGAAACCGGAGCUAAUACCGGAUAAUAUUUUGAACCGCAUGGUUCAAAAGUGAAAGACGGUCUUGCUGUCACUUAUAGAUGGAUCCGCGCUGCAUUAGCUAGUUGGUAAGGUAACGGCUUACCAAGGCAACGAUGCAUAGCCGACCUGAGAGGGUGAUCGGCCACACUGGAACUGAGACACGGUCCAGACUCCUACGGGAGGCAGCAGUAGGGAAUCUUCCGCAAUGGGCGAAAGCCUGACGGAGCAACGCCGCGUGAGUGAUGAAGGUCUUCGGAUCGUAAAACUCUGUUAUUAGGGAAGAACAUAUGUGUAAGUAACUGUGCACAUCUUGACGGUACCUAAUCAGAAAGCCACGGCUAACUACGUGCCAGCAGCCGCGGUAAUACGUAGGUGGCAAGCGUUAUCCGGAAUUAUUGGGCGUAAAGCGCGCGUAGGCGGUUUUUUAAGUCUGAUGUGAAAGCCCACGGCUCAACCGUGGAGGGUCAUUGGAAACUGGAAAACUUGAGUGCAGAAGAGGAAAGUGGAAUUCCAUGUGUAGCGGUGAAAUGCGCAGAGAUAUGGAGGAACACCAGUGGCGAAGGCGACUUUCUGGUCUGUAACUGACGCUGAUGUGCGAAAGCGUGGGGAUCAAACAGGAUUAGAUACCCUGGUAGUCCACGCCGUAAACGAUGAGUGCUAAGUGUUAGGGGGUUUCCGCCCCUUAGUGCUGCAGCUAACGCAUUAAGCACUCCGCCUGGGGAGUACGACCGCAAGGUUGAAACUCAAAGGAAUUGACGGGGACCCGCACAAGCGGUGGAGCAUGUGGUUUAAUUCGAAGCAACGCGAAGAACCUUACCAAAUCUUGACAUCCUUUGACAACUCUAGAGAUAGAGCCUUCCCCUUCGGGGGGCAAAGUGACAGGUGGUGCAUGGUUGUCGUCAGCUCGUGUCGUGAGAUGUUGGGUUAAGUCCCGCAACGAGCGCAACCCUUAAGCUUAGUUGCCAUCAUUAAGUUGGGCACUCUAAGUUGACUGCCGGUGACAAACCGGAGGAAGGUGGGGAUGGCGUCAAAUCAUCAUGCCCCUUAUGAUUUGGGCUACACACGUGCUACAAUGGACAAUACAAAGGGCAGCGAAACCGCGAGGUCAAGCAAAUCCCAUAAAGUUGUUCUCAGUUCGGAUUGUAGUCUGCAACUCGACUACAUGAAGCUGGAAUCGCUAGUAAUCGUAGAUCAGCAUGCUACGGUGAAUACGUUCCCGGGUCU
rnacentral:rRNA from 1 species